GAUGAAGAACGCAGCGAAAUGCGAUAAGUAAUGUGAAUUGCAGAGUUUAGUGAAUCAUCGAAUCUUUGAACGCACAUUGCGCCCCUCGGUAUUCCGACGGGCAUGCCUGUUCGAGCGUCGUUCGCACACCCUCAAGCAGAAUUCAUGUCGGCUUGGUCUUGGGCCUCCGUCCCCCACCGCCGCCAGCGAGGGCGGGGAGGGACGGGCCCCGAAGCGAGCGGCGGCCUCGGAUGCACCGCCGGAGCGUCCUCGUGAUAACUCGCUCCGGCGCCGUGCGUUCGCGGCCCGCCUGGACGACGAAACCCCCCCGCCCGCAAACGGCGGGAACACCAACAAAGUUCCGACCUCGGAUCAGGCAGGGAUACCCGCUGAACUUAAGCAUAUCAAUAAGCGGAGGA
rnacentral:misc_RNA from 1 species